CUGCCCCCUCCUUACUCCAGCCCCUCUGACUUGGUGAUGUGGUCUGGCAUUGAUGGGGGAAACAUGACCCGCUCCAUCACUCACGUUCACUGUGGUUACUGUCAGUGCGGGACCAGCGGUGGAGCGAACAUU